UAGACCGCCUGGGGAGUACGGCCGCAAGGUUAAAACUCAAAUGAAUUGACGGGGGCCCGCACAAGCGGUGGAGCAUGUGGUUUAAUUCGAUGCAACGCGAAGAACCUUACCUGGUCUUGACAUCCACAGAAGAAUCCAGAGAUGGAUUUGUGCCUUCGGGAACUGUGAGACAGGUGCUGCAUGGCUGUCGUCAGCUCGUGUUGUGAAAUGUUGGGUUAAGUCCCGCAACGAGCGCAACCCUUAUCCUUUGUUGCCAGCGGUCCGGCCGGGAACUCAAAGGAGACUGCCAGUGAUAAACUGGAGGAAGGUGGGGAUGACGUCAAGUCAUCAUGGCCCUUACGACCAGGGCUACACACGUGCUACAAUGGCGCAUACAAAGAGAAGCGACCUCGCGAGAGCAAGCGGACCUCAUAAAGUGCGUCGUAGUCCGGAUUGGAGUCUGCAACUCGACUCCAUGAAGUCGGAAUCGCUAGUAAUCGUGGAUCAGAAUGCCACGGUGAAUACGUUCCCGGGCCUUGUACACACCGCCCGUCACACCAUGGGAGUGGGUUGCAAAAGAAGUAGGUAGCUUAACCUUCGGGAGGGCGCUUACCACUUUGUGAUUCAUGACUGGGGUGAAGUCGUAACAAGGUAACCGUAGGGGAACCUGCGGUUGGAUCACCUCCUUACCUUAAAGAAGC
rnacentral:rRNA from 2 species